CUCUCUUUAACAUAUUUGCUUUCUGUUUUCUUUCAUUAAACAACCGAUCGUUCCUCCGUUAUUAAAUACUUUUUUUACGCUCAAAUUCAAGAAAUCGUAUACUUAAAGGUUACCAAUUUGUAAGUUAUCAAACAUUUAUUGAACUUACUGAUUUUAUUCACUAAUUUUUAGUUUUUUUUUUUCAACUUUACCAAAUCACAACCUGGUUCGAUUUUUUGUUGCAUGUUUAUUUUUUAUGAAAUUAAUUGCUUUUGCAAAUCCAUUUCAGUAUGAUAGUUCGAUAAUAUCAUUUUUUUUUCAAUUAUUAAAAGUCAGAUCUUUGUAUUUUUUUGUUUAAAAGUUGUUGGUUCUUAUUCAGAUUCUUGUUUGGUUGCAUGUUGAUUUUUAUGAAAUUACCUUAUUUUGCAAUCCCGCUCUAGUUUGUUAGUUGAUUUUUUUCAUUUUUUUUUCAUAUAACACAAGUCAGAUCUUUGAAUUUCUUGUUUAUAGUUGUGAUUGCUUAAUCAAUAUAGUAUAAAUUUGGUAAUGGAUUCUUGUCCUAACUUUAAUUUAGGACUUAGUCAGUUAGAUGCUCAAGAACGAAAUAUUUUCAUUGGUUUUGCUCCUGGCAUAUUUGAUAUUAUACAUUUAUAUUAUUUGAUUAUACAUUACUUUAUUUAUCAGACUAAUGUAUAAUAUUAGUUUUCUGCUUUACAUUCAAUUAUAUUAUACAAUAAGAAGAUGUACAUAAAAGAGAUAGUUAUUGUAAUAAGUGAAAUUAUACGUUGUGAAUGUUUGAAUAUUGUAUAAGGUGACAUUAUACAUUCUUACUUUGGCCAAAGUUUUGCACUUUUAAUAUUGUAUAAGGUGACAUUAUACAUUCUUACUUUAGCCAAAGUUUUGCACUUAAUAGUGUGAUAUUAUACACUAUGAAAUAUUACAUUAUAAUGUAUAAGUUAUAAUAUAUCAGUCAUUAUACAUUAUUUAUUUUGAAAGGUGACAUUACACAAUCUAACAAGCUUAUAAGUCAUACAUAUUUAAGGUGAAAUUGUGUAUUAUGACAUUAUACAUUACUGCAGAUUAUUAUUUAAAUGCAUAAGUUACCCUCAUACAUGUCUAAAUGUUGUUUUAUUAUGGUCUGAUUUAUUUUUUUUAAAUGUAUAAGUUAUCAUCACACAUGUGUAACUGUUGUGUAAUUAGGUCCUGAUUUUAUUUUUCCAGGACAUGAAAUGCCGAUUGAACUGUUUAAGUAAAUUUGAUUUUUUUUACAUGUAUAACGAUGUUAUAAUUAUUGAACGGAUUGUUACUUCAUCGUUUUUUAUUUACAUCAGGGACUGUGGUGUCUUUAUGUCUGCCUAUGCAGAAAUAUUAAGUUAACGGCAACAAGUCCAUUCAUGUGGGUUUGAUGCUGGAACUCAAUGUGCAUACUAUGCUUCAUUACUAUGGCAUUACGGAGUGACAAAGGCAAAAGAAGGGUACACGAGUGACAAUGAGGAUCCUCCUCGGCCAAGGAAUAGUUAUCUCCAAACAAUUGAUGCAAGUGCACUUGUUACAUUAGAGUAGAAUUUUUUUAUAAUAGUCGUCAUUGAAACAACUAAUUUUUUUAUGUUAAACGGUUACAAUGUUACUUUUUGGAUGUUAAUUCACAUUUUAUAGAUGUCCUUAUUUUUAUUAUACAUACAUAUCUUCUAAAGAGAUGUUUUGCAAUUAACUACACUAUAUUGUAAUGUUACUAAUAUAGUUUGGUAGUUAUUACGUUUGCC
rnacentral:lncRNA from 1 species